GUAAUACUGGCCUCAGUAAUACUGGCCUCAGUAAUACAGGCCUCAGUAAAUACAGGCCUCAGUAAAUACAGGCCUCAGUAAAUACAGGCCUCAGUAAAUACAGGCCUCAGUAAAUACAAGCCUCAGUAAUACUGGCCUCAGUAAAUACAGGCCUCAGUAAAUACAGGCCUCAGUAAUACAGGCCUCAGUAAUACAGGCCUCAGUAAAUACUGGCCUCAGUAAAUACUGGCCUCAUAAAUACAGGCCUCAGUAAUACAGGCCUCAGUAAUACAGGCCUCAGUAAUACAGGCCUCAGAACAGCAUGGACCAUAUCAUUCCAUUUGUUUGUUGUUUCCCAUUCAGGUGAGUUUUGUGAAACUGUGGAGCUGCAGUUAGAACACAUAAAAACAACCUGAAGUUGUUCAAUAAAAUGUAUUUUUUUAUAACCGAA
rnacentral:lncRNA from 1 species